AAGUCGUAACAAGGUUUCCGUAGGUGAACCUGCGGAAGGAUCAUUAACGAAUCUGGCUUUGGGGGGAUGUGACUGUAGCGCAAAGUAGAGUGAUCCGCGAGGGUCAUGGCGCUACGGCCCCUCCCCAUAUUAACCCGGGCCCGUGCAGCGAUGCCGGGCAAGGUGUGUGUGGCGUGGGUUGGAUGGAGGGUCUUUGCGCCCAAAGACGACCUGCUCACACGCGGUGAGGAUCAAUGCCUUUCAUGUGGCAUUGAUCCGAUCCACAUGGACGCUUGUAUGUUUGACAGAGUUGGUUGACACUUAAAUGACAACUUUUAACAAUGGAUCUCUUGGCUCUU
rnacentral:misc_RNA from 1 species